rnacentral:lncRNA from 1 species
CCAUCUGAAGCAAAAGCACAGAAACAAAUUAAAUUUUCCCUGACUCUACUUUUCACUGCUGGUUUAACCCUAUCAGAUGUCCUUUCCUUAUGUAUAAUCUUUGACUGAAAUCUUCCUCUUCAUGUGGGCCGAAGGGACAGUCUUUCAUUUUGUGAGCAGCCAUUAAACACCAAACUGUGUUUCUCAGGUAUUGCUCUUUCAAAAGAAUAUUCCCUUCUCUGGUGUCAAGUUUGCCAACAUGUGUUUGCAGUUCACCAUGCAGUUCAGUUUUUCCUGUCAGUCCAGAAAUACAUUAAAAAUUAUAUCAGUAAAAGUGUAUUCAGCAUCUUGGUAUUUUGCAUGUAGGAGGGCUAAUCAUAGUGACCACUUUGCCACGUUUCAGAACACAUAGGUCCGAUGACUACUUUUUUCAUUUAAAAAUAUUUUUGGGGAACUCACACCUACUUUGUGCCCAUCCCUGACUGGAGGUUAUAAGCACAGUGGGUGAUAAGGAAGUCUUUAUCCCUGUUCUCAUGGAGCUUGAAUUCUAGUGAGGCAAAGGAGACAAACUAUGCGUGUCUAUGUUUGAAGUGGUUCUUUAUGUUAUGAGAGAAAAUUGCAUUUAAUCAGAGACCUGGAUAAAGUGAAGAAGGAGUCAUAUGAAAGCCUGUGAAAAAAGAUCUUUUUCCCCCCUUUUAAUAUGAACUAGCAAGAGUAAAUUUUUAAAGAUCCUACA